rnacentral:lncRNA from 1 species
AACAGCACCAUUUCGUCUUUGCUUUUAAAUUUUAAAAGAAACAAAAUUAAAACUAAAAGAAAGUUUCAGACUCUUUCUUUUUCUGUAGGAUUUUUUUAGGGUUCCCUCAACCCUUUGAGCACCGCCGCUCCCCUUUGCGCCAAGGCUCCGAUUGCGACGGAGAUGGCCAUGACUCGGCGGGUUCGGCGUAUGGGUAAGUCUUUCCUUCUUUUUCUUUAUAUUUUAAAUGAAAAAUAAAUAAGAAAAAUAAAAAAAUAAAAACACGAUUCACCUUCGAAAAAAAAUCUUUGAAAUCUCAGUAUUUCUCUUUAUUUUCGUCUGUUUUUACACUCCAAAAAACCCCCUAUUUACACAAUAUAAAUGGCCUUUUAUAGCCCGAAAUCGAAAAAUAAUCAAAUCUAAAUGCUAUUUUUUUUCUGUUUCUUCUCUCCGUGACUCUUUGAGUCCGUGUUUUUGCAGGUGUUCGUGGAGAGAAACGCGUGCGUGGAGGAGAGAUCAGCCCGAGACGUGCGGCGCUUGGACGCUUGCUGAAGGCGUUGGGGGCUGUUGCUGGUGGCUUGCUGCUUAGGGCUAGGUUUUUUUGCUUUUUGUUUUUUUUUUGCUGUAUUGGGCUUGUUUAAUGCUUUGGGCCCGUUUAUUGGUUUGGGCCCGGGCAUAUUUGGGUUUGUACAUAUCCGAUUCUGUAUGUGAGUAUAUGUCAAAUCUAUAACUGAAAACGUGUCCAUUAUUUAUGUAUAUCUGUUUGUGGGUCGGGUCACACGCAGGGGCUUCUAGCUCACUUGUUUGUUUAAUUCGUUUUAGGUGUACUUCCUACUUAGGACUUGGCGACAACUUCAAAGCCCGGUUCACACAAUUUGGUAUAAGUUGAUUUGUUUUUGUUUUUUUUUAAAUUUCGGACAUUAUGGUCUUUCGGAUUUUAAUUUGUUUUGGAACGUUAAAUUUUUAGUUUUGGUAUUUGUUUUCGUGGACGUUUUAUUUAAAACUUGUAAACGCACCCAAGACAACAUAACUAAUGGAUCUUAUGAUUUUAAGAGGUAAGAAUUUU